CUACGGGACGCUCCAGUAAGGAAUAUUGCACAAUGGGGGAAACCCUGAUGCAGCAACGCCGCGUGGACGAAGAAGGCCUUCGGGUCGUAAAGUCCUUUUCUGAGGGAAGAGGAAGGACGGUACCUCAGGAAUAAGUCUCGGCUAACUACGUGCCAGCAGCCGCGGUAAAACGUAGGAGGCGAGCGUUAUCCGGAUUCACUGGGCGUAAAGGGCAAGUAGGCGGUUGUUUAAGUUAGGUGUGACAUCUCUCGGCUUAACUGGGAGGGAGCGCUUAAAACUAGGCAACUAGAGGGCGGAAGAAGGGGGUAGAACUCCAAAUGUAGCGGUGGAAUGCUCAGAUAUUUGGAAGAAUACCAGUGGCGAAGGCGACCCCCCGGUCCGUGCCUGACGCUGAGAGGCGAAAGCUAGGGUAGCGAACGGGAUUAGAUACCCUGGUAGUC
rnacentral:rRNA from 1 species